AGGAUAAUAGUUAAAAUAUAACCUUUAAGUUGCAUUUAAAAAUUAUUGAUACCAAUUUAUCUU
rnacentral:tRNA from 1 species